UACGGGAGGCAGCAGUGGGGAAUAUUGCACAAUGGGCGCAAGCCUGAUGCAGCCAUGCCGCGUGUAUGGAGAAGGCCUUCGGGUUGUAAAGUACUUUCAGUCGUGAGGAAGGUGUUAAGGUUAAUAACCUUAGCAAUUGACGUUAGCGACAGAAGAAGCACCGGCUAACUCCGUGCCAGCAGCCGCGGUAAUACGGAGGGUGCGAGCGUUAAUCGGAAUUACUGGGCGUAAAGGGCACGCAGGCGGUUAAUUAAGUUGGAUGUGAAAUCCCCGGGCUUAACCUGGGAAUGGCAUUCAAGACUGGUUAGCUAGAGUCUUGUAGAGGGGGUAGAAUUCCGAUGUGUAGCGGUGAAAUGCGUAGAGAUGUGGAGGAAUACCGGUGGCGAAGGCGGCCCCUGGACAAAGACUGACGCUCAUGUGCGAAAGCGUGGGGAGCAAACAGGGAUUAGAUACC
rnacentral:rRNA from 1 species